rnacentral:rRNA from 1 species
AAUCUUCCACAAUGGACGAAAGUCUGAUGGAGCAACGCCGCGUGAGUGAAGAAGGUUUNCGGAUCNUNAAGCUCUGUUGUGAGGGNCGAACAAGUACAGGAGUCACUGUCUGUACCUUGACGGUACCUCACCAGAAAGCCACGGCUAACUACGUGCCAGCAGCCGCGGUAAUACGUAGGUGGCAAGCGUUGUCCGGAAUUAUUGGGCGUAAAGCGCGCGCAGGCGGUCCUUUAAGUCUGAUGUGAAAGCCCACGGCUCAACCGUGGAGGGUCAUUGGAAACUGGGGGACUUGAGUGCAGAAGAGGAAAGUGGAAUUCCAAGUGUAGCGGUGAAAUGCGUAGAGAUUUGGAGGAACACCAGUGGCGAAGGCGACUUUCUGGUCUGUAACUGACGCUGAGGCGCGAAAGCGUGGGGAGCAAAC